rnacentral:piRNA from 1 species
UACACAGGGCAACCAAAAACCAAAGGAACAAU